CCGUGGUAAUUGCCUGCGAAACAGUGUUUUGACAAACCAGACGGGUGUAAGCCAUCAUUCUAGCAGCACGGUGAUGAGGUGUCACCUGGAGAGAGCUGUUGAGAGCCCACAUGUUUACAUGCAGCCAGGUGACCCAGUUUUGCCCUGCAUCAGACCACCACUGCAUUCUUCACAUUGGUUUCACUUAUCUAGAUCUUAUCCCUUUGAAUCGGUUGUCAGUGCCAAAGGCGUAAGGUUCGUAGGAAUUUGAAUAGUCUGUAUUGAAGCUCUUCAAAAUAGUGUAACAUCUUUUUUUUUUUUUUUUAAUUUUCAUAUCUUUGACUCAUGAAAGAUCCUACACUGGUACAAAUACAUAGAAAAACUUAGUAAAAAAUAAAAGCUAAUUAAUAUGAUAUGUUUAGAAAUGUAAUGUCCCUAUAAUCAGAGCAAAGCGCUAGAAAUAUGGGCAGAGGAGUGACCCUUUGGCUGUAUCGCCCAUCCAUCCGAACCCGGUGGUGGGCUGGCCACCGUGGUAAUUGCCUGCGAAACAGUGUUUUGACAAGCCAGACGGGUGUAAGCCAUCAUUCUAGCAGCACGGUGAUGAGGUGUCACCUGGAGAGAGCUGUUGAGAGCCCACAUGUUUACAUGCAGCCAGUGUGGUUCCACUGAGACAGCAGUAAUCCAUUAAGAAGGGGGCUGAUCCUGCGAGGGGUUUGAUGAAGUUGAAGCUCCUCUGCCCCAUGCAGAAGGGCGUUUAGUGCUGCCGGCCCCACUGCUAGUGUGCAGGGAUAUAUCACCUGCGUACUCACUGUUUCAUCAUAGCUCUCCGUUUCUCUACUGGGUGUCCAAUGGAAAGGCAAACUCACCUUUUGUCCACUCAAAAUAUAAAAGAAAGGAAUCUUUUAUAUGUUUCAAAAAGCUUAACUGAUGUUUCUACCCGGGUUUCUGCUGUUCUUAAAAAGGUCUUAAUUUGGCCUAAAAACUCUUAAAGUCAUGGCAUGAAAUGUUGGAUGCACUGCAAAAAACUUCCUCUGUGGUUUUGUUUUUUUUACCAAUACAAAUAUCUAAAAAUCUUAAAAUAAGAUACAUUUAGGCCUACUUGAGAUGCAAAAUGAACAUAUGAAGUUUUGUUUUCUGAGAAACUGAACAAAAUUGAGUAUAUGCUUAAAAGAAGACCAAACAUCUGGCAUUGGGAAUGAGGCCCAUUUUCUGAGCCCAUUGGCAGAUAUUUGUUCUUGUUUUAAUCAUGAACUUCCUUCAUUUUUGAUAAUUUAUCAUAAAACAAGGAUUCUUAUAUUAUAUAAUUUUGCUUCUGAAGUAAACACAGUGCCUUGCAAAAGUAUCCAUGCCCCUUCAUUUUUUUUCAUG
rnacentral:lncRNA from 1 species